rnacentral:lncRNA from 1 species
CUGAAGCUCUGAGGUCUGGCUUUAGACUUCAGGUCAUGGGCUCCGUGUUCUGGACCUGGAGGCUGUCUCCAGCUUCUGGGUUCCCCACUCUGGUUCUGGCCUGCAGCGGGCAUCUCCAGGACCUGCACUCCAAGUUCUCAGGUGCAAGCUCUGGGUUUGGAUUCCCAGAGCUAAGCUCCAGUGUCAGGGAUCAAAUAUCAAGCUUGGGGCUCUGCUUCUAGGCACUGGGCUCUACAUUCUGGGCUCCAAUCUCUGAUUCCAGAUUCCAGACUCCAGGUUCUAGACUUCAGGCUCUUGGUUCCAGGUUCUGCAUCUGGGCUCCAGGUUCCAGUUCCAGGCUUCGUGCUUUAGGCUCCGAGCUCCAGUUCCGCACUCCACACUCCAGUUUUGGGUCUGGGUUCUGAGUUCCUUCGGCCCCUCAGCAAGGGGACAGGAAGAUGGUGGCCUCCUCAGCUAGUGGGGUUAUCUCUGCCCACCCAUCUCAGCUGGCUAGGACUCCAGUCUGGCAGCCGGCACCCUGGGCUGGCCAGGAGCAGCACCAGGACUGAGUCUGGCUUCUCUGCCUGCAAGCCACCUCCUUCUGGGAGUUCCUCCCUGAUUCCCCUCUCUGUGUGGGGUCUGGGCUUCCCUGGCUCCCUGGAGAUAGAGAAGACCGCCCAGGAAAAGUAGGCAAGGGGCAGAACCUGCUCCUGCCAUAAGAGCCAGCAUCUCUCACAAGGCCUUCGAUGCAUCCAAAGAAGCCCACAGCCAUCUCUGCAGAGACACUCAGUCCUCAAAAGAAGUGGAAAACAGCAACCAGACCCCGUACUUAGAGCCACAGAGACCAAGGAGCAGCAUGAUGACGCCUGGCAGAGGCACAGCUCCCCAGAGGGUCUUCCGCUCCCCACUUCCUCCUUCUCUCCUCCCCUCCCUCCCUCUCUCUUGCUCUCUCUCUCACACUCACACCCGGAUACUCUGUGCAGUCAGGAAGAGACGUUCUGACAACAGGAAGUCAGGGGGCACACCUGAGGUCCCCGGGAGCUUCCUGGCACUGACCUGGGUGACAGAGGCAGUGUGGUUUGUCAGGGGUGGCACAGGGUAGACUGGCACAAAAGGAAC